UAGUAUGUAAAUAUCUGACCUUUGAAUACACUAAGGGGAGAGAAGUGAAACUCUUAGUUGGAUUGCAUGUUUGACUCCUGGUAUGAGGGACAUCUCUCUCCUUCUCCACCAUAAUGACAUAAUUAGAUUUAAGGAGGUCCAUCUCUCUCCUUCUCCACCAUAAUUACAUAAUUAGAUUUAAGGAGGUCCAUCUCUCUCCUUCUCCACCAUAAUGACAUAAUUAGAUUUAAGGAGGUCCAUCUCUCUCCUUCUCCACCAUAAUUACAUAAUUAGAUUUAAGGAGGUCCAUCUCUCCCCAUCUCCACCAUAAUGACAUAAUUAGAUUUAAGGAGGUCCAUCUCUCUCCUUCUCCACCAUAAUUACAUAAUUAGAUUUAAGGAGGUCCAUCUCUCCCCAUCUCCACCAUAAUGACAUAAUUAGAUUUAAGGAGGUUCAUCUCUCACCGUCUCCACCAUCAUUACAUAAUUAGAUUUAAGGAGGUUCAUCUCUCACCGUCUCCACCAUCAUUACAUAAUUAGAUUUACGGAGGUCCAUCUCUCCCCAUCUCCACCAUAAUGACAUAAUUAGAUUUAAGGAGGUUCAUCUCUCACCGUCUCCACCAUCAUUACAUAAUUAGAUUUACGGAGGAACAUCUCUCACCGUCUCCACCAUCAUUACAUAAUUAGAUUUAAGGAGGUUCAUCUCUCACCGUCUCCACCAUCAUUACAUAAUUAUAUUUAAGGAGGUUCAUCUCUCACCGUCUCCACCAUCAUUACAUAAUUAGCUUUAAGGAAGAACAUCUCACACCAUUUCC